rnacentral:rRNA from 1 species
AGUGAACGCUGGCGGUAGGCCUAACACAUGCAAGUCGAACGGCAGCACAGUAAGAGCUUGCUCUUACGGGUGGCGAGUGGCGGACGGGUGAGGAAUACAUCGGAAUCUACUUUUUCGUGGGGGAUAACGUAGGGAAACUUACGCUAAUACCGCAUACGACCUACGGGUGAAAGCAGGGGAUCUUCGGACCUUGCGCGAUUGAAUGAGCCGAUGUCGGAUUAGCUAGUUGGCGGGGUAAGGGCCCACCAAGGCGACGAUCCGUAGCUGGUCUGAGAGGAUGAUCAGCCACACUGGAACUGAGACACGGUCCAGACUCCUACGGGAGGCAGCAGUGGGGAAUAUUGGACAAUGGGCGCAAGCCUGAUCCAGCCAUACCGCGUGGGUGAAGAAGGCCUUCGGGUUGUAAAGCCCUUUUGUUGGGGAAGAAAAGCAGCAGGUUAAUACCCCGCUGUUCUGACGGUACCCAAAGAAUAAGCACCGGCUAACUUCGUG